UUUUCCUAUAUUUGUGAAAAAUGCUAUUUUCACAAAAUUUCCAACAAUCCCCCACAUGAAUAGAAAUCGAUCUAUCAAGUUUCAACGAUACACGUUCAACAGUUGAGCAUUGCAAGAUAGGUAGGUGUAUGAUGUUGUAACCUUUGAACCUUCUUUUAUGAAGCAUACUUAGCCUCCUAGGGUCUUGUAGACGCGGUGUCCUUGAACAAUCCCCCAUUUAUGUAGGCGACAAUAUACAUUCACACAAUACUCUCCCUAGUCGAGUCAAGACCUCAUGGUUGUGUCCGUUCAUGGUCAUGGAACACGUUCCUGGUUCUGCGAGAGCUCUAGGAUUUGCGCCUCCCCACAAAUCCAUUCGAAGCGACCCCACUUCUCUCUAACAUAGGUGAUUCCUCUGAAUCAUUAAAAGCAUCAUGGUUAAUUUGGAUUUCCUCAAAAUCCUUAACCUCAACAUGCUUAACCUUUCCUUCAUGUCACUGAUUGGAAUGGACUAGGAAGUAUACAACUCCCUUUAUUGAUUUUGGGGCACCCCCCACAGUGACUCCCUUUGGGUUUAUGAUUAAGUUUGCCUAUUGAACCUAGAUCUUGGGAUCUCCAGUC
rnacentral:lncRNA from 1 species